AGUGAACGCUGGCGGUAGGCCUAACACAUGCAAGUCGAACGGCAGCACAGGAGAGCUUGCUCUCUGGGUGGCGAGCGGCGGACGGGUGAGGAAUACAUCGGAAUCGACUUUUUCGUGGGGGAUAACGUAGGGAAACUUACGAUAAUACCGCAUACGACCUACGGGUGAAAGCAGGGGAUCUUCGGACCUUGCGCGAUUGAAUGAGCCGAGGUCGGAUUAGCUAGUUGGCGGGGUAAAGGCCCACCAAGGCGACGAUCCGUAGCUGGUCUGAGAGGAUGAUCAGCCACACUGGAACUGAGACACGGUCCAGACUCCCACGGGAGGCAGCAGUGGGGAAUAUUGGACAAUGGGCGCAAGCCUGAUCCAGCCAUACCGCGUGGGUGAAGAGGGCCUUCUGGUUGUAAAGCCCUUUUGUUGGGAAAGAAAUCCAGCUGGUUAAUACCCGGUUGGGAUGACGGUACCCAAAGAAUAAGCACCGGCUAACUACGUGCCAGCCGCCGCAGUAA
rnacentral:rRNA from 1 species